CAGGGCCAGUGGGGUGUGCAGCGUCAGGUACUAGGCGGCCUUGGCAAGAUUCAGGCUGCAGUCUCAGGGCUAGGGCUCCCUUAGAGGUGCUAUGACCUAAAGCCAUGUUUCCCGGUGGUGUUCCCACAGGACAAUCCCGGACCCGUCCUAGUGGCCCCCACUGUCCUGUAUGCAGGGAGGUGAGUUAGUCACGUGAGCUGAGCAGGCUUCCAGGUGGUUCUUAAGGGAAAAGACUGCUCUGUCAAGUGAAUGGCUUCGCUCUAAAUGUGGCCUUGUCUGUGUCUUGCUCACCGUUGGUGUACACACCCUGGCUCAGUAUUUGAGGACUACUGUAGUUAUGUUAUUUCAGGUCCCUAGGAAAACGGGUCUCUACAAGUGAGAUUGCCCUAUACCUCCACCCUUUGCUGGGGGAGGUAGGGUGGAGUCUUCCUGCUCUGAGUGAAGAACUAGAUAAUGCCGCGUGCCCAGGUGGUGCAAUAAGUAAAUUACCAGCCUGAAGUUUGAACGGAAUGUCGGGUGGCAAAGACGAACUCUUGGCUUCGUUUGUAUAUUAUUGGGAAAGAAGGCACAAGAGCCAGGUCUCCUGGUGGGACUUCUGAAGCUUGAUUCUGGAAGGAGGGUGAAGCACAAUGACUUUCAGAAUGUCUAGUCUGAUGUGCACAGCAGAAGGAUCCAGGCCUGAUGACAUGGUAACCACUGAUGCCCCCACAGGAGAGUUGGAGUGAGGUUCCUGACUGUGUAACAUCUGUAGGAGGAAGGCCGCUAACAUCUGUAGGAGGAGCCACUCUUUUGUUCCUGGCCACCAAGAAUCAAAAUAACCACAUAGAAACUGUAUUAAUUAAAUCACUGCUUGGCCCAUUAGCUUUAAUUUCUCAUUGGAUUACUUACAUCUCAAUUUAACCCACAUCUAUUAAUCUGUGUAUCGCCACAUGGCAGUGGCUUACCAGGUAAACUUCCUAGGGUCUGUCUCGGCAGAUCCCUGGUGUCUCUCUGGUUCCACCCUUCCUUCUCCCAGCAUUCACUUCUGUCCUCCCCGCCUAUCUAAGUUCUGCCCUAUCAACAGGCCAAGGCAGUCUCUUUAUUCAUCAAUGGCAAUGAUAGCACACAGAGGGAACUCCCACAUCAAUGCUGCAGUCUGAGAAGGGAAGGAAGAUCGUGGUGAUGGUUGGUGAUUCCCAUUUCUUGGUGGACCUACUGCACAAACUUCCAGACCUUAGUGAGUCCUGUUUACUUUGGAACUGGCCCAAGAACACUGACUGAAUGUUUGACAGUUUAUCCACACUAUAUCUUGAGACACAGAACUCAAUUUUUGCCAGUAUGAUGUUCAAUUUAUUGUUGAAAUAAAGGGCCUGAGAACUGA